AGCAGAUUCAAUGUGGGGGGUGAGAGAAGAGCAGAUUAAAGAAGCUGCAGUUUUGGAAAAUAUAAUUUUUGAUGAUGACGAUGAUUUCGAUGAGGUGGAUGGAAAUUUGAAACCUUCUUUCUAAAGAAAGUUGUUCCUAAACGAAGAGAUGGAAACUGAUGACAAGAAUUCUCAAUUUACUGAAAUACAAAACAUUCAAGAAUGUAAGAGUGACAGAAAGCUGGCAAUCAGAAGUGGGAAGAAAAGCAAGGAAGAAGACUCAACCGAUAAGUUUCAUAAUUUUAAAACUU